GUCUGAAAAGUGGCAAAUUUCAGGGGAAAUGUCAUUCUUGCCGGGGAGAAGUGUUCGGAUAUACUCUCUUUCUCCGGGUGAGGAAGAAUUUCUCUGAGCAUAAUCCUAAGCAGACCACCGCCGAGCACUACAGGGCCUGUAUGUGUAACCAUGUAGUGUCUGCACACAUAAAGCUGUGUAUGUGCGAAGCCUCAUAAUGUAAAAGUUGUAAGAUGCUAACGUCUUAGGUGGCUGACAGCUGAGCCGCUGGAAGUACAGAGUAGGAGAGGGAGAGAGAGACAAAGAUACAUCUGAACUGUCAAAUUCCCCCAGCAGCUAUAAGGGUUUAAACGUGCAUUUUGUGCCUUAGGACCAUAUAUCUCAGAGAAGCGUGAGCCUGCCGUGUACUUGACCCUUACGCUGCCCAGGAGACUUUUUUUUCCCCCCCUUUUUUUUGUUUAUAAUACAGAUAGUCCUAAUUAGAGAUCCCAAGAAGACUUAGACAAUUCAUAUCAUUAGCAUUCCUCUCCACCCUACUUAGUUACACGUGAAGUACUACUUAGUAGUCAUCAAGGACACCUUCAGGAACAAUUAGAUGCUUUGGGGUAUUUAAAGUCAUAGAGGCUUUGAAGAUACUGUGAAGAAAACAGCAGUGAACACAGGGAGUAUUUAAGCUCAUGAUUUUGGGUUGUAUUUUCAAGGGUGUUAAAGUGCUUUUGUAAUUUCUGAUUUUGUUAUUUUUAUAUGUAUUCUUUUAGGUGGAGUGCAGCUUCCAGAAAUUCCAGCUUGUGUCAAGUACAGUGCCUUUUAUUUCAGCAGAUUCAUCUUGUCACAAAAGAUAUCUGCCCAGUGUCAAAGAUGAUGCUUGAGAUCGAAGCUUCAGCCACAGCCUUGGAAUCAGGAUGAAGCUGGAGACUCAAGGACCCAGGCACACUCAGGAGAGGAUGCAGAAAGAUAAAACCCAGGGCAAAAAUCCAUCCACCCAUCCUGGGUGAGGAGGUUCCCCCGAGCAGGUCAGUCACCGUCUCUGCAGGGGGAGUGCAAAGUAUGAGUCUGUUACAGCACUGUUUUUUGUCUUUUUUGGAAAUCAAGCUGGAUAUCAGCAGUCAAGGCAAGGCAAUCCACUCGGAGCAUGGCGAUCCCCCAUCGCCAACCGGCCGAUGGACCGGGUCUGCUGCUCCUGUGAGCCCUGUGGAAGUGUCACAGGACACAGUGAUGAAGCCUCUGCCUUUUCUAUUUAGAGGUGUCACCCGGGUAGCCUUCAGCAACG